rnacentral:lncRNA from 1 species
CGCCGUUUUGAGGACGGCGGAGGAGCAACCUGAACAACUUCGAUCGGUUUUUUGUCUGAAGCUGGGUCUGAAGCUGGGACCGAUGGAGAAAUAGGAAUUGACUGAAAAUAGAAACAAACAAUAGUGAUGAAUAAAGAAAAAGACGAUGAUUAAGAUGAGUAAGGAAGUGAUAUUUACAGAGGAAGGAGGCGAAGAUUCAACAGCUUCUUUUGACUUUUCUUCAGAUACAGAUGGUUCAGCAGGGCUAUCAGACCAGGUCUUGCUCGGAAAGGGACUGCGAGUGAGAAGCAGAUAAGUAAAAUAAUGAAGAUUGAAGAGUAAAAGUUAAAUAAAACAACAUACCAAUGGGAUGACGAGUUUUGUAAUGUGCAGCCGAAACAAUGGGAGGAAAGGUUUCUCGGAGAAAAG